UACACUUUGUCACCUGCAAGCUCUGAGUGGAACAACAAAUAGAAGAGUGAAUUGAAGACUCACUGUACAAUGAAAAGCCCUUCUGUUUUUGUCAAGUUUGCCAGCUCCUGUGAAAAGUUCUACAAAGGAUCAUAAUAACUGCACAAGACCAAGUAGCUGUCCUUCCUCCCUUGGCUCACUGCAAUUUCCUCCUAGCUGGUUCCCCUGUCUCAGUGUUGCUCCCCAGUAACGACAAUCAAUGGCAGAUCACUUGAA